rnacentral:rRNA from 1 species
AACGAACGCUGGCGGCAGGCCUAACACAUGCAAGUCGAACGCUCCGCAAGGGGAGUGGCGCACGGGUGAGUAACACGUGGGAACCUACCUUCUGGUACGGAACAACCAAGGGAAACUUUGGCUAAAACCGUAUACGACCUCCGGGUGAAAGAUUGAUCGCCGGAAGAGGGGCCCGCGUCCGAUUAGGUAGUUGGUGAGGUAACGGCUCACCAAGCCUACGAUCGGUAGCUGGUCUGAGAGGAUGGCCAGCCACACUGGGACUGAGACACGGCCCAGACUCCUACGGGAGGCAGCAGUGGGGAAUAUUGGACAAUGGGCGCAAGCCUGAUCCAGCCAUGCCGCGUGAGUGAUGAAGGCCUUCGGUUG